AUCUAUGGCCAUGCUACCCUGAACAAGCCUGAUCUCGGAAGCUAAGCAAGGUCAGGCCUCGUUAGUACUUGGAUGGGAGACCACCUAGGAAGACCGGGUGCUGUAGGCG
rnacentral:rRNA from 1 species